rnacentral:ncRNA from 2 species
AGUAUGACCCGUGAUUAUGGUGUCCACGCGACUGAAAAGGGAAUCCGGUGAAAAACCGGAGCUGUUCCCGCAACUGUAAGUGCUGACAACUCACACGUAUCCACUGCCUGUUUCGGGUGGGAAGGGUGUGAGGCGGCUGACGCACGAGCCAGGAGACCUGCCAUGAUCCACGUAAGAUC